UGUUCUUGCAAAGGAUGUGAUGAGAUAAGUAGAAAUGAACUCAGAGAAGAUGAAUUCAAAAUCCUCGAUGGGAGCAUCCAAGUACUUCCUGGUUUCUGGUUUACAAGGCACUUCAGAGGAUGCUGCACUGUCUGGGUGAGUCAGCUUCCUACUGUGGCUGCUGGUCACAGUCCAGGAACUCAUCUAGGCCUAGGUAAGAUUGCAUCUGGAGCCUGGGGCCAGGUCUGGGGCCCUACAGUAAGGCGGAGAUGGGCUGGUAUGUGUCCUGAGCGGAGGUUAGGAAGGCUCUGAACACUGUCAUGGGAGCAAAGACUGAAGAAACUAGAGAAAAAGAGACUCUGAGAAGACUCAGAACUGCCUUUCUGCAUCUGUAGGAUUUCACCCCACUAUAGGUUGUAUGGAGGGCAGAACCGAGGGAGAGUCUUGGGGGAGGCAGAUUCCAGCCUGACCAGGACAGAGCUGGCCAACCAGUGCACAGGCUUCCUUGGGAGGCGGUGAGCUUUUCAUUAUAGAAAUAUUCCUACAGAUUCCUACCCUGGGCCCGGUGGCUCACGCCUGUAAUCCCAGCACUUUGGGAGGCCGAGGUGGGCAGAUCACUUGAGGCCAGGAGUUUGAGACCAGCCUGGCCAACACGGCGAAACCCCAUAUCUACUAAAAAUACAAAAAUUAGCCAGGCGUGGUGGUGCAGGCCUGUAGUCCCGGCUAUUCGGGAGGCUGAGGCACAAGAAUCAUUUGAACCUGGGAGACAGAGGUUGCAGUGAGCUGAGAUCACACCAAUGCACUCCAGCCUGGGUGACAAAGCAAGACUCUGUCUCAAAAAUACAAAGAUAUAUUCCUACAGAUUCCUAAGACCUACCUCAAGAGAUUCCAAUUCAGUAGGUCUUGGAUGGCUGAGGAAUCUGGUGUUCAAAAAAUUCCCAGGGUGACUGAGUGGGGCUCACGUUAUAGAGAGCUUUGCCUGCCUGGGCGGAGCUUAGAUGUGACCUGGGAUUCUUCUAGCACUGGCAGUCUGUCAUUCUGUGGUCCCCUCAGGUCCCAGGCUUGUGUUCUGACAGCUUCUAUUCCUGCUAGAACCCCUUGGCUACAAACUCUUCCCUUUGAGUCUCUCCCUGUUCAAGGGCCAAUGCAGAAAACCCCACUCAGGACAUAGCCUUACAAAGUGCAUUGUUGGGGGGCUUUUUGUGGUAUUUGAUUGCAGCUUCUGAUUAAGGACCUGAAGAGUACGUCUGUCUGUGCAUGCCUGUGUAUCUGCGUGUGUGUCUGUGUGUGUGUAUGCGUGUGUACGUGCAGAAAGAGAAACAGGAUCUAGUCCUACAGAUUUUGUGUUUGUGUGUGAGAAGGCCUCGGCUAGUGCUCAUGCCAGUGAUGGGAAAUAGGGGCUGGGACCUGAGGAAUCACAACUAGGGCUGGACCCCGGGGAGCUGUAAACUUAGAAGGAUGCUCUGUUCUUUGCCUGCUUCACAGACUGGGAAUUCAGGCAGGAUUGGGACUUCCAGCCGAGUCAUCCUGGCCAACCCCGCUUCCUUGGCUGCCUGGCCUCGGAUGCUCCCAGGGACUCAGGUUCCAGCCCCCUGAAGGCUCCAGGCCAGCUCCUGAGGCCUGACCCUCCCGAGGCCGUGACUACCUGAGAAACCCAAUGUGGGUGGUCUGGUGGGUGCAAUAGUGGGAGAAGCACUUUACUCACCAUGCCUGGUUGCCUUCUGAAAAGCUUUGAAAUGUCCAGGGCGUGGCAGUAAGGGAAGAGGGUAAAAGAAAGUUGAGUUUGAUGUGGCCUUUGGUUGGGGGGGUCUGAACUGCCCCAGCUUCAUGGUCCCUCAGGCUAUAGAAGGCACUUGAGGGCUGGGCUGAACAGGCAGAGUCUAGGAGGCAGCAACUAACCCUUGUACUGGGUAACACAUAAGAAACCAGCAGCACAGCAAAGUUAACAGACUUGGUCUCAAAGUUUCUUGGCCAAGACAAGGUCUCUUGACCAGAAUGUAGAGGAGCUGGGAUUGAAGCCCAGCUUGGUAUGACUGCACAGUUUACAUUCUUAAAUCCUGUGCUAGGUAUCCUCCCUGAUAGGACCUGGGCUUCUCGGCUCCCGGCUCCCCUGAAUUCCUGCUGGCCUUCCUAACCAUCACAGCUUCAAAAUGCAUAUAGGUACAGUGCCAUUAGGUUGGCAUGAUGAAUUUCUAGAGGUUGCCACAAUGGGGGGAGGGUUCCAUGAGCUUGCCUGCCACAAAGUUGAGAGUAAGCGAUCCCUGAUUGGCUAGUGGGAGCUCCAAAUUCCAGUUCCCCACAAGUUCAGUCUCCCUGUGACCCUGAGCCAGAACCAGACUCUUAUUAAAUAACGGAUGGUCUCUGAAGGCCCUUCAAGUGCCAUGAUUCUCUCUGUGCCCAUGGGAAAUCAAGACUAUAGAGAGAAUGUUUGCAGGUACUGAUAGCUUCUGCAUUAUUGGGGCCCAGCAGAAGGACCCAUGAGGGAAGAAUGCAUGAGUGAACAUUAUUUUUACAAAUGGGUAGAUUCUUAGUGAAUAUUCUCAUGUUAUGAUUACAUUUGUUUUCUUACACAUUACAACUCUGGGAACUUAAGUAACAAACACUUUAAAAAGAAUGGCCCUUUGGAUCUCCAUAUCCCAAACCCAUGGGAUCAAGAUGUUGUAGAACUUGGCAGUCUUGUGGGUGGGGAGAUGCCCUUCCCUUGAAUGUCUAAGUGACAGGUGUCUAUGUUGUCUUGUUUUAUGUUUCCUGAGGAUAUACUCUGAAAGAACUUUUAAUUAUAAAGCAUUGUAAGCAGGAAGAAUUUAAUAUAAAAGCCUGUCUUCACUGACAGCAGGGGUGCAUCUUUGCUGAUCUUUUAUUAUCUUAUAUUUUAGGAAUGCUUUUAGUCUUGGGGCAGCUGUUUGGGGGAGUUGCCCAGGAUUUAAGAGCUACAUUUUGCCUGAGAAUCUGAUUCAAGGGUACUACCAUUGUUAGUAAAGUAGAAGGGGCCAGGGAUGGCCAUUUUCAGAGGAGUCCAGGGCGAGGAAAUAGGGAUGCUAAGGAGACAGAGGCCAAGAAAGUCAUGGCCUGAGGGUCUGGAAGCAGUCGCAUUUGAAUGCAGUUGUGAGUGUUUUGUCUCUCCUUUCCUUAAUCCCCAAGCUUUUGGAACUUGGCACCCUCAGCAGCAGGACCCACUAUUUCCCAGAAUGGGGGCCUGGACUUGAUAAAACCCUGGGCUGGGCUGCCUGAGGCUGAAGGGCUAGGGGGUUGGCCCACUGUCACUUAGACAUUCAAGGGAAGGACAACCCCCUCACCCCUAAGGCUGCCAAGUUCUGCAACAUCUUAAUCCGAUGAGCUUGGGAUAUGCAGAUACAAAGGGCCAUUCUUUUCUAAGUGUUUACUAUCUAAGUUCCCAGAGUCGUAAUGUGUCAGAAAACAAAUGCCAUCAUAACAUGAAAAUACUCACUAAGAAUCUGCCCUUUUGUAAAAAUAAUGCUCCACUUAUAGAUUCUUCCCUCACUUAAAAAGCGUCUAUCCCACCUGGCUCAGGUCAGUUUGGAUGACUGUCCGAUAUAACAGGACAAUACCAUUUCAAUGCAAAUCAACUGCAAAGUUCAUGAAGUCAAAGAAAACAGUGAUGGAGAAUUUUACAUGCAAGGUCUUUGACCAAGGAGAUCAGAUAGAGCUUAUCAAUUAAGUGAAGAAAAUACGACGAGGAUGAUGCUCAAAUAGGUUCUUCAAAAGGGAAUAAUUUGAAUAUCGAGGGACUGAAAGAGAUCCUUGGGGAAAUGGAUGAAGCCCUUAAGUAUUAAACAGACGUAGACUCUUAAUUAGGUGCUGUAAAGUAAAAUGUGAAGAGCGAGUUACUAUGUGAACAGAUCACUUUGCUGGUAUAAUAAAUAAAUAUACCCACACCAAAAUCAACAUUUUAUUCUUUCUUCAAUCUGAAAAUUA
rnacentral:lncRNA from 1 species